rnacentral:rRNA from 1 species
UAGGGAAUAUUGGUCAAUGGAUGCAAGUCUGAACCAGCCAUGCCGCGUGCAGGAAGAAGGCCUUCUGGGUUGUAAACUGCUUUUGUCAGGGGAUAAAAUGGGAGUGCGCUCCUAAUUGAAGGUACCUGGCGAAUAAGCCACGGCUAACUACGUGCCAGCAGCCGCGGUAAUACGUAGGUGGCAAGCGUUGUCCGGAUUUAUUGGGUUUAAAGGGUGCGUAGGCGGUCCCAUAAGUCAGUGGUGAAAUACUCUAGCUUAACUAGAGGGGUGCCAUUGAUACUGCGGGACUUGAGUGGAGUUGAAGUGGGCGGAAUUGACGGUGUAGCGGUGAAAUGCUUAGAUAUCGUCAAGAACACCGAUAGUGAAGACAGCUCACUAAGCUCAAACUGACGCUGAGGCACGAAAGUGUGGGGAUCAAACAG